rnacentral:tRNA from 1 species
AGCUCAGUUGGUCAGAGCAUGGUGCUGGUAACACCAAGGUCCUGGGUUCAAUCUCUG